CGAUUUCCUUAGUAGCGGCGAGCGAACUGGAAAAAGCCCAGCUUGAAAAUCGAGGCGCCCUGYGCCUUGAAUUGUAGUCUGUAGAAGCAUCCUCUGCAGCGGACCGGGCCUAGGUUCYUUGGAAUGGGACGCCGGAGAGGGUGAGAGCCCCGUCCGGCUCGGACCCUGCUGCUUCACGAGGUGCUSUCAUAGAGUCGGGUUGUUUGGGAAUGCAGCCUCAAUUGGGUGGUAAAUCUCAUCUAAGGCUAAAUAUUGGCAAGAGACCGAUAGCGAACAAGUACCGCGAGGGAAAGAUGAAAAGGACUUUGAAAAGAGAGUUAAAAGUGCUUGAAAUUGCUGGGAGGGAAGCGAAUGGAUGCCUUGUGUGCUUCCCGGCUGUGGUGGGACGGCUUGCUGGCCUGCCGRAACAGCUUGGGUUGCUAGCCAGCGUUGGCAAKGGUGGCAGGAUAASAGSYGGUUGCYCUCGGGCUUCSGGCCUAUGCUGCUGCCCUUGCCAGGGCCACAAGGGUGCGCCACCCCGYGUGGCGGGCCUCCGGGCACCCGCACCCUUUGGAUGCUGGCAUUUSGGG
rnacentral:rRNA from 1 species